UACGUAGGGUCCGAGCGUUGUCCGGAAUUAUUGGGCGUAAAGAGCUUGUAGGCGGUCUGUCGCGUCUGCUGUGAAAAUCCGGGGCUCAACCCCGGACUUGCAGUGGGUACGGGCAGACUAGAGUGUGGUAGGGGAGACUGGAAUUCCUGGUGUAGCGGUGAAAUGCGCAGAUAUCAGGAGGAACACCGAUGGCGAAGGCAGGUCUCUGGGCCAAUACUGACGCUGAUGCGCGAAAGCCAGGGGAGCGAACGGG
rnacentral:rRNA from 1 species